UGCGUAGGCGGAAUGAUAAGUUAGUGGUGAAAGCCCCCGGCUCAACCGGGGAACUGCCAUUAAUACUGUCAUUCUUGAGUAUAGUUGAAGUGGGCGGAAUGUAUCAUGUAGCGGUGAAAUGCUUAGACAUGAUACAGAACACCGAUAGCGUAGGCAGCUUGCUAAACUAUAACUGACGCUCAGGCACGAAAGCGUGGGGAGCAAACAGGAUUAGAUACCCUGGUAGUCC
rnacentral:rRNA from 1 species